GGUGUCAGAAAAGUUACCAC
rnacentral:ncRNA from 2 species